rnacentral:rRNA from 1 species
AGCGAACGUUAGCGGCGGGCCUAACACAUGCAAGUCGAACGCGAAAGGUCUUCGGACUGAGUAGAGUGGCGCACGGGUGAGUAACACGUAGGUAAUCUACCCUUUGGCGGGGGAUAACGUUCCGAAAGGAGCGCUAAUACCGCAUAAGACCACGGAGUCUCCGGACGCUGUGGGAAAAGGUGGCCUCUUCUUGAAAGCUACCACCGAAGGAUGAGCCUGCGUCCCAUCAGCUAGUUGGUAAGGUAAUGGCUUACCAAGGCGAAGACGGGUAGCUGGUUUGAGAGAAUGAUCAGCCACACUGGCACUGGAACACGGGCCAGACUCCUACGGGAGGCAGCAGUGAGGAAUAUUGGGCAAUGGGCGAAAGCCUGACCCAGCCACGCCGCGUGAGUGAUGAAGGCCCUCGGGUCGUAAAGCUCUGUGGAGAGGGGCGGAAAACCCUAGGUUUCAAAUAGGCUCCAGGCUUGACGGUACCUCUUUAGCAAGCACCGGCUAACUCUGUGCCAGCAGCC